CACCCAGUCUCCCAGAAGGAUAUAAUGCAGAAGGCUUUCCAUUCUAAUGGAACUUGGUUUACUCAAAUAGUCCAAAAUAAAAAUUAACUUUUAAACCUAGACAAAGGACAAUGACACCCAUAGAGUAAAUGCAAGCAUUAUGGAACAACCAUUGCUAAUUGUUUGCUAAUAGAAAUCCCACUUAGACGAUUUUGCCCCAUUGGCAAGCUUUUGAAACCGAGUGUUCCGUGUCACCAACUUUUAUCCAAUAUGAGCGACGGCGCGAUCAAGGUGUUAGCGUCCAAAGAGGCGCCAUAGAAGCUUCCCCUAGCAAUCACUGAGCCGCGGACUCACCUUUCCAGCCAUGUUUGAUUUGUGAGAGGAUCGUCAGAGGACUGAUGCCUCAGGUAAUCUUAAGACAUUGGUUUUUGAUGGAACUGGUUCCGGUGACGGGCAAAUGCCGCUGGCAUCACAGUGGUAGCGUAUUCGCAGUUAUAAUGCGAACGCCGACGGUAUUUUUUUAAUUUGAGAAACAAGAAUUUCAACAUCAUUGACCGUCGCAUUUCAAGCUAUAAAGCCUACGGAUUUGAAAAGUAUGCUAUUCGUUCCAGUCAUAAAAGAAUGUCGCAGAGAAAUUACGUAGUUGUUUUACCGUUGAAUGCUACCAAAACCAGAUUUGUUAUUUUUUAUUGCUGUGCAAUGUACGUUUGUCCUUGCCUGAAUUCGGAGAAUUUUCGUAAACAACUUGGUAGUGAUAUUCCAGGAUCUGUGAAAAAACCGUCUGAUUCUUGUGAGUAUGGUUCGCAUCAACCAAAACAGACUGUCGCCGAGUUCAAUGCCACAAACAUGCGAGUUAUAUUCCGCAAGGUUAUACAAGGUCACGCUUACUCGCAUAGCUAAAAAUUUGGAGAAUUUGCUUUUAUUAAUUACUUGGUCCAAUACCGUACAGUUUCUAAACAAAAAAAUAUUUCUGGAUUUGCUGAUUUCAAAUUUCUGUAGAACCUAAAAACCAUACUAAUCGGCCACUGAUCGACCACACGCAUCUCUGUCGUACAUCCAACAUGGAGUACGACACAUUUCAUGUUACUGCCGCACUGCGAUCAAACCGGAUCGUGUUUUACGACGAGUCGGACACGCGCCGAGGAUUAUCUUGUCCAACAAAGUUGUACAACUCGUUGUACAAUGAAUCGUGACGCGUAUGGACUCCUUAAGGGGUCGUGUUCACCGACCUGAGACAAAUAAGAUUUUUGGAAAGCGAAACAUAAGCAGGGAUUAUCGUGUAUAAAUUAGCCGCUUCGAUCGCUGUGUGUCAUAAACAAUAGAUUAUGCCGUGCAUAAGCGUGCCAAUUCGUUAAAAAUAUCCGAGAAGUUUAUGCAAGUUCAACAGUUUUCUGAAAAGCUGAUAGCAGUGAGACUGUUGCGUCUACCAUUCGGAAAAUGGGGAAACGUUUCGGAGGAUCAGUUUUGAAAUUCGGAACGUAUCGACAGCGUGGAAAUAUGGAGGUCGAGAAAAGAAAGAAAGGACAUGAUGACUGUGCACAUGGAAUUCACCGGCUUUCGUAAUUUCGGCGACUAACCUCGGAUGACUCCAUUUGACGUAUCGGCAUACAAAUUGACCGGUCACUUACGACUCGUCGUCAUUUGAAUUUCGGAGGCCGCGGGGAACGCUUCGGAGAAAAUAAGCGGGAACGUGACAGUGAUGAAACUAUCGAUUUCAUCGCUGACUUCGAUCAAGUAUUCGUCUUCAUCGGAAAUUAUAAUCUGUACAUUCAGGAUACGGGCCACAGCGUCGAAUAUUGAUGGAGCGUUCGCAUAAGUAGUAUUGCUAUCUAUAUGUCAGACGCGUGAAAUUUACAUAGCGUAUACUAAUAUUAAAUACUCUCUUAUACUUAAUAAUAUGAUCUUGUGUGCUACAAAAUGUCUACAACAUAGGAAAUGCACUGAAUUAUAAAAAAAAAUAUUACUUUUUACUUUAUCUUCUACAGUUAAUAUAAUAAUUUAGGAAAUAAGUAGAAAGUGUGGUUUCGGCGCUUUAUUGAUUUGAGUUUCAGAAGAACAAUUUAAUAAAGAAUCUAUUUCAUUA